UACAGAGGUCUCAAGCGUUGUUCGGAUUCAUUGGCGUAAAGGGUGCGUAGGCGGCGCGGUAAGUCGGGUGUGAAAUCUCGGAGCUUAACUCCGAAACUGCAUUCGAUACUGCCGUGCUUGAGGACUGGAGAGGAGACUGGAAAUUCAUGGUGUAGCAGUGAAAUGCGUAGAGAUCAUGAGGAAGACCAGUGGCGAAGGCGGGUCUCUGGACAGUUCCUGACACUGAGGCACGAAGGCCAGGGGAGCAAACGGG
rnacentral:rRNA from 1 species